rnacentral:rRNA from 1 species
UACGUAGGGGGCAAGCGUUGUCCGGAUUUAUUGGGCGUAAAGCGCUCGCAGGUGGUUCGUCGCGUCGUGCGUGAAAGACCCCGGCUCAACUGGGGGAGGUCGUGCGAUACGGGCGGACUGGAGGCCAGUAGGGGGAUGCGGAAUUCCGGGUGUAGUGGUGGAAUGCGUAGAGAUCCGGAGGAACACCAGCGGCGAAGGCGGCAUCCUGGACUGGUCCUGACGCUGAGGCGCGAAAGCUAGGGGAGCAAACGGG